CGUAUAUUAAAGUUGUUGCAGUUAAAAAGCUCGUAGUUGGAUUUGUGGUGUGUGGUGUGUUCCGGGCACUUGUUGUCUGAGUAACCUGCUGUUGCCAUCCUUGGGUGGAACCUGUGUGGCAUUAGGUUGUCGUGCAGGGGAUGCCCAUCAUUUACUGUGAAAAAAUUAGAGUGUUCAAAGCAGGCUUAUGCCGUUGAAUAUAUUAGCAUGGAAUAAUGAGAUAGGACUUUUUUACUAUUUUGUUGGUUUGCGUAAAGAGGUAAUGAUUAAUAGGGACAGUUGGGGG
rnacentral:rRNA from 1 species